AAGACCUUGCGCUUUUGGAGCGGCCAAUGUCUGAUUAGCUAGUUGGUGGGGUAAUGGCCUACCAAAGCUUCGAUCAGUAGCUGGUCUGAGAGGACGGCCAGCCACACUGGGACUGAGACACGGCCCAGACUCCUACGGGAGGCAGCAGUGGGGAAUUUUGGACAAUGGGCGCAAGCCUGAUCCAGCCAUGCCGCGUGAGUGAAGAAGGCCUUCGGGUUGUAAAGCUCUUUCAGCCGGGAAGAAAAGGCUGCGACUAAUAAUCGCAGUUCAUGACGGUACCGGAAGAAGAAGCACCGGCUAACUACGUGCCAGCAGCCGCGGUAAUACGUAGGGUGCGAGCGUUAAUCGGAAUUACUGGGCGUAAAGGGUGCGCAGGCGGUUUUGUAAGUCAGAUGUGAAAUCCCCGGGCUUAACCUGGGAACU
rnacentral:rRNA from 1 species